GACAACAUGUAGGACUACAACUCUAACACUUAACAUCAUCAUAAAAACAAGAAAUCAAGCAUCUAAAGUAUGGUCAAACCUUGUCAGAAAAAUUAACACUUAGAAAAUUCUGGGCUGCCCAGAAUUUUCUGGUCAAUGCCGGUCAACCCACUUUGACCUUAAAUAACUCUUAAUCCGUAAUAUAUAUGGACCUGAUUCUUUUUGGAGGUUAAAUACCACAUAACAAGCUACACAUAUCAACCUUUAGAACACAAAACACAUUAAAGAUAACCGAGAUAUAAGGCCUGACAUUUUCCAAAAUAAUAUUUUCUGGACACUUAGAAUAUUUUCUGGGUUUGAAAAACAGCCGGUCAAUGCCGGUCAACCCACUUUGACCGCUUAUAAAUCCCGAUCUACAAUAGAUAUAGACCUGAUUCCUUUUGGAGUUUAAAGACCACAUAACAAGCUACACCUAACAACUUUUAAACAACAAAAACAGUA
rnacentral:lncRNA from 1 species